GUGCCGCGAUUUGGACGUAGGAGAGCACGGAAAAGCGGCGGCCAGGCUUUUCUGUUUCCUGUGGGAGUAACAGAAGAAGAUAUGGUCUGACAAGUAUAUAUGUCAAAGCAUUGCUGUAGAUCUUUAGAUACAGACUGUGGACUAUCUGCUAACAUUUGGGUCUGUGAAAAGAGUACAACUCAUGGCUGAUUAGACUGAGCUGCAAAUGUGGAAUGAUCACUGUGAAGAGAGGACUUUGGAACACUGAUUUGCAUAUCCUGUGGCUGUAGUAGCUCAUUCUGUGGUCAAAAGACACUCAGUAAAGAAAGAAGCACAGAAGGAUCUGAAGACCAAGAAGAAGUGGAUGACUUCUGGAAAGAAAAACAGUUGCUGUCAAGAACUUCAGUAUCCAGAGGCUUCAAGUGACACUGGUGAUUCUGUCUUUGUAGAAUCUGACUACCAAAAAGGGGGAGUGAAAGACCUGAAAGAGAGUCAGAAGCGCAUAAAACUCCCACCUCCACAAAAUCUGAGAGAGCCAAUCUCCAGAGGCAGUCCAGACUUGCUUGUUAGAAGGAGAGAAAGAAGCUGUGAAAAAAGUACAGAAAACAAAGUGCCAACUGUGGCAUUACAACAAAGUACAGAGGUAGAAUCAGAUAGCUCGGAUGGUGAAUUUGAAUCGUUAAUAGAACGGAUAAGGAAACGAAGUAUACCUCAAAAACCUACGUUAAGCACAAAUAAAACUGUCCGCCAGCCAAGCACAAGAGUGGGCUGUUCAUUGCAGUGAUUGUGAGUCUGCUCUUCCUUGUGUUAUUGAGGUUCACAGCUGGGGUUCUCUUCUGGAUUUUCAUCUUUGGUGUGAUUGGAAUUAUAGGUUAUGGCAUCUGGCAUUGUUACUGGGAGUACAACCAUCUGAAAGGAAUACCUGGAUCUGACCUCACUGUUUAGGAUACUGGAUUCCAGAGGGACUUCAGAGUGUGCCUGCAGCUGAGGCAAACAUGGUUAGCAUUUAAUAAGUGCCCUUAACUUGGUAUCUGUUAAUGGAUACUCGGGAGAUUCAAUCGCUGUCUUGCUACAGUUUCUGCCUUGUUAAAUCUCCUGCUCUACGUAUGUUGCUCAUAGAAGUAAGCAGAAUUCUCUUUCUUAUACAAAGUGCAAAAAUCUACUUUUUUUUGCAAGGCUACUAGUGUAUUUGUAAGGCGACGUAACGCAGUUGCACUAGUGAUGAGAGUGAAAAAUGCUUGUGU
rnacentral:lncRNA from 1 species